rnacentral:miRNA from 1 species
UGAAGAUGGUGAUGAUGACGAUGAUGAUGGUGAUGGAGAUGGCGACAAGAGCGUCAUCAUCAUCAUCAUCGUCACCAAGGGAA